rnacentral:rRNA from 1 species
UACGUAUGGAGCAAGCGUUAUCCGGAUUUCCUGGGUGUAAAGGGUGCGUAGGCGGCACAGCAAGUCAGAUGUGAAAGACCGGGGCUCAACCCCGGGGCUGCAUUUGAAACUGCCGAGCUUGAGUCCGGGAGAGGCAGGCGGAAUUCCUAGUGUAGCGGUGAAAUGCGUAGAUAUUAGGAGGAACACCAGUGGCGAAGGCGGCCUGCUGGACGGUAACUGACGUUGAGGCUCGAAAGCGUGGGGAGCAAACAGG